CUGCUGUUUGAUGGACAGGCCAGCCUGGUGGCAGUUGAGGAGUCAGCUGAGGAUUCUGGGAGAGAACUGUGAGCUGAGGGGGAUUCUGAGCAGUGUAAGAAAAAUGGAGGAGCUUUUCCUGGGGACAGAGAAAAAGCCCCAAGAACAGGGGUCCCCAAACUACAGUCCACGGGCCACAUGCAGCCCCCCGAGGCCAUGUAUCUGGCCCCCACUGCACUUGCGGAAGGGGCACCUCUUUCCUUGGUGGUCAAUGAGAGGACCUGUAUGUGGCGGCACCAUCACUCAUGGUUCAAAAUAAACAGAAUCACCAGCCUUAUCCUGGCAACCAGAAAGAAGUAAGAAAAGAAAGUUAUGAAGAGAAAGAGGAUAAGAGACAACUUAGAGAGUUAAAGGUGGAUGGAGGAAUCCGAAUUUACUUAUUCUUUCCUCAUACAUCAGAAACCCUAAAAAUCCAAUUUUUAUCAGUUCUGAAGUUUCUACUAAUAGAAACCUCUGGUGGCAACCCAGCUUCUAUUUCAAAGCAAAUAAAAAGUCAUUGGGGAAAGGAAUCUUUUUUUGUUUCUUCUUCUAGAUUUUCCUCCUCAAAACAUUUGAUGUACUCAGAGGUAGGCCAGAGAGUUAGGGUGGUGGAAUAAUAGGGGUAAUAUGAGUAAAUACUGCAUCAUAAUGGAUGCAACCUGGAAAUUACUCUUUUUUAGUAAGAGUAUGAUUGCCUUGAAUUUUUACAGAUUAAGGAGCUCAAAAGCUUUUGUUGGGACAAUUUAUUACAACACCCUUGGAGUUCUCUUUUGUCAAUGGUCUGAAAGGAAGGCGCUGUCUGCAAAAAUAGCUUCUACUAUUUCGUGUUCAGUACUUUCAAAGGAUGGGUAGUUUCAUCAGUUUCAUUACUCUCCAACUAGGGCAGACCAGAUCAGCUCUGUUGAUGGUUUUCUUGAGUUGCUACAGUUGGGAAAACAAAAAAACUAUCAGUUGGUGGUUAACCUUCUGAUGAUAAGCCUUUCCAAACUUAACCAGACUUCACAGUACCUUUUGGAGGUAAUGAUUUACUCAUAUAGGCUUCAUGAAUCCAAGUUCAGCAACAGAUCCAACUAAGACAUCAAGAAAGACCAUAAAAAUGUUUAAAUAGUGCUACAAAAAAUGGAAUAUUAACUGUUAUUGUGCCUAGCAUUUGUGCUGAAUGCUAUAGGAGAAAAUGAGACAUAAAUUAUAAGUGUAAGUGUGUAUAUAUAUAUAUGUGUGUGUGUGUGUGUUUACAUAUAUACACACACAUAUUCUAUAUUACAGUUUGUGGAGGUUAGGGUGAGAGUCAGGCAGGAAAAAUUUAUUCACGUGGUCAUACUUAAGUUUUGUACUUUGCUCUUUUAUUUCUUCUACUUCAAGUGAUUACUAAUAAAUCAUAAAAUAUGAUUGGAAUUAUUGA
rnacentral:lncRNA from 1 species